rnacentral:rRNA from 1 species
GACGAACGCUUGCGGCGUGCUUAACACAUGCAAGUCGAACGGAAAGGCCCUGCUUUUGUGGGGUGCUCGAGUGGCGAACGGGUGAGUAACACGUGAGUAACCUGCCCUUGACUUUGGGAUAACUUCAGGAAACUGGGGCUAAUACCGGAUAGGAGCUCCUGCUGCAUGGUGGGGGUUGGAAAGUUUCGGCGGUUGGGGAUGGACUCGCGGCUUAUCAGCUUGUUGGUGGGGUAGUGGCUCACCAAGGCUUUGACGGGUAGCCGGCCUGAGAGGGUGACCGGCCACAUUGGGACUGAGAUACGGCCCAGACUCCUACGGGAGGCAGCAGUGGGGAAUAUUGCACAAUGGGCGGAAGCCUGAUGCAGCAACGCCGCGUGCGGGAUGACGGCCUUCGGGUUGUAAACCGCUUUCGCCUGUGACGAAGCGUGAGUGACGGUAAUGGGUAAAGAAGCACCGGCUAACUACGUGCCAGCAGCCGCGGUGAUACGUAGGGUGCGAGCGUUGUCCGGAUUUAUUGGGCGUAAAGGGCUCGUAGGUGGUUGAUCGCGUCGGAAGUGUAAUCUUGGGGCUUAACCCUGAGCGUGCUUUCGAUACGGGUUGACUUGAGGAAGGUAGGGGAGAAUGGAAUUCCUGGUGGAGCGGUGGAAUGCGCAGAUAUCAGGAGGAACACCAGUGGCGAAGGCGGUUCUCUGGGCCUUUCCUGACGCUGAGGAGCGAAAGCGUGGGGAGCGAACAGGCUUAGAUACCCUGGUAGUCCACGCUGUAAACGGUGGGUACUAGGUGUGGGGUCCAUUCCACGGGUUCCGUGCCGUAGCUAACGCUUUAAGUACCCCGCCUGGGGAGUACGGCCGCAAGGCUAAAACUCAAAGGAAUUGACGGGGCCCCGCACAAGCGGCGGAGCAUGCGGAUUAAUUCGAUGCAACGCGUAGAACCUUACCUGGGUUUGACAUGGAUCGGGAGUACUCAGAGAUGGGUGUGCCUCUUUUGGGGUCGGUUCACAGGUGGUGCAUGGCUGUCGUCAGCUCGUGUCGUGAGAUGUUGGGUUAAGUCCCGCAACGAGCGCAACCCUUGUUCACUGUUGCCAGCACGUUAUGGUGGGGACUCAGUGGAGACCGCCGGGGUCAACUCGGAGGAAGGUGGGGAUGACGUCAAGUCAUCAUGCCCCUUAUGUCCAGGGCUUCACGCAUGCUACAAUGGCUGGUACAGAGAGUGGCGAGCCUGUGAGGGUGAGCGAAUCUCGGAAAGCCGGUCUCAGUUCGGAUUGGGGUCUGCAACUCGACCUCAUGAAGUCGGAGUCGCUAGUAAUCGCAGAUCAGCAACGCUGCGGUGAAUACGUUCCCGGG